rnacentral:rRNA from 1 species
AUUGAACGCUGGCGGCAUGCCUUACACAUGCAAGUCGAACGGCAGCACGGGAGCAAUCCUGGUGGCGAGUGGCGAACGGGUGAGUAAUAUAUCGGAACGUGCCCAGUCGUGGGGAUAACGUAGCGAAAGCUACGCUAAUACCGCAUACGAUCUAUGGAUGAAAGCGGGGGAUCGCAAGACCUCGCGCGAUUGGAGCGGCCGAUAUCAGAUUAGGUAGUUGGUGAGGUAAAGGCUCACCAAGCCGACGAUCUGUAGCUGGUCUGAGAGGACGACCAGCCACACUGGAACUGAGACACGGUCCAGACUCCUACGGGAGGCAGCAGUGGGGAAUUUUGGACAAUGGGGGCAACCCUGAUCCAGCAAUGCCGCGUGAGUGAAGAAGGCC